GGAACAUAUGUAUGCCUCCUGCACUCAGACGUCUGCUUGGGAGACCUCUUGAGAGGGGUGAAACCAUCCCGGUAAUGAGUGAAAACUCAGAAUUGACUGAAUAUCUCUCCAAAAGAGACUGUUUGAAACCAGAAGAGAAUGGGCUAUAUUCUAUUGGCAAGCUCAAGCAUUAUUUUCUGCUAUUUAUAGAAAUAAUACCUAAAAGACAAGACAAAGUCAGUUAUCACAGCUCCAGGCAUUGUGGCUUCAUGCAACUAUGACCAAAGCAGGAAGAAAAGGAAUGGCAGAGACUUCUCAGAAGCUCUCCAACAGACUUCUCUUUGAAUCUCAUUGGCCAGAACUGGAGCACAAACCCAUUCCUAAACCAACUUAUGGCAAAAAGAGGGUUGUCAAGAUUGUCCUAGACCAGUUGUAAUUGGUACCUUUGAUCAAGUGGGACUCAUGGAGUAUAGUUAUAAAACAAUUUCAUUUUUGUCUCCU
ensembl:lncRNA novel transcript, sense intronic to MMP28